AUUUCACUGGAGUCCUGGGAGUUAUGCAAUGCCCUUAGACCCUGGGGAGUGUGUCCCUUCUUCUUAUUGUGAUUAUUUUAAUCGUCCGUUUUGGCCUUUGGCCUUUACUUUGCUUUCCUGAGGAAAAGAUUGAAACAACAACAACAACAACAAAAAAACACACAAAAAAACCCAAAGCUGAGCAAGAAUGAGGGCUAGGAGCCUGCAUCCUCAACACCGACAUAGACGCAGGAACAGAGGACAGAAUAUUGUCAGGUUGUGAAAGCAUGUCGGUUGGUGGCUGCUAAAGCUUGUCUGGUACAGUAUCAGUUUUUCUAGGAAGUCUCCAAUGCAGAAAGGAAACAAUGCCUACCCUUCUGAGGCCGGAGGAACUGUUACCUUAAAGGAGAACGCAUCAUUUGGCCCAGUUGGGGAAAAAUUACCAUGAAAAGAGGACAAACGGAAACAAUUCUCAGGAUUUUGUUGAGCAAAUUCCCAAAUUUGGCCUACAUUCCCACGUAAGGACCUUUGUAGAGCCACGUUUCUCUUUCAAAGCUUUCUUUUGUAUUUUUUUUUCCCAUUGAGGAAUAAACUACAAAGUGGACUUCUGUGUUUCACUUUUUGGGUUAAACUAGCACAAGCAAAAAGCGACCAGUUUUCCUGAGGUAUAACACCGUCUGCAGGGAAACAAGUCACGUGCAGCCCGUGGUAUUUAAAGUGAUCUUUUCCGGGCAGGAUGUA